UCUACCCAGUAGGCUCACCCUUUAAUGUCACAGCUUGACAGCCAAAUAGUCAGUCACUCAGUCUCCUCCCUUUCCAAAAUGAAAUAGAUUCCGCAAACCACACGAAAUUGUAUUAAAUGUUCUGUGUUUAGAAUUUAUGGAGGAUAACAUUGUGUGCAACUGAAAAAAAUCAAAAUGGACAGGAUCUGUUGUAUUUCCUAUAAGCUGCGAUGCGGUCCCAUGGGUCCUUGUCUACCGGAAAUGGUUUACACUGGCAGCUGUGGUAGCCACUUUCCAACCUUCUUCUAUGUUCCACAGAGCUGCGUUCCUUGUCGUCCAGAGGCUGUUGAAAAGUGUACAAAACAGCAUAAAGAUAUGGUAUUACAUAAAUAAAACCAUCUCUUUAUGCUGUUAGCAAAGACUAAUGUAACUUAAAUUAAAAAAUAAAUAAUGAAACGAUAAAAUAAAGGGAGAAUAU